CAAUAGCGUAUAUUAAAGUUGUUGCAGUUAAAAAGCUCGUAGUUGGAUUUCGGGGUGGCCUGCCUGGUCCACCGCAAGGUGAGUACUGGUCAGCCGCCCUUCCUCUCGAAAGCCCCGACUGCUCUUCAUUGCAGUGGUCGGGUAGUUCGGGACGUUUACUUUGAAAAAAUUAGAGUGUUCAAGGCAGGCUAUCGCCUGAAUACAUUAGCAUGGAAUAAUGGAAGAGGACCUCGGUCCUAUUUUGUUGGUUUCUAGGGCCGAAGUAAUGAUUAAUAGGGAUAGUUGGGGGUAUUCGUAUUCUAUUGCUAGGGGUGAAAUUCUUAAAUUUAUGGAAGACGAACUACUGCGAAAGCAUUUACCAAGGAUGUUUUCAUUAA
rnacentral:rRNA from 1 species